rnacentral:rRNA from 1 species
CAUCACUACGCUAGAUGCAUAUCAAUAAGCGGAGGAAAAGAAACUAACAAGGAUUCCCCUUAGUAACGGCGAGUGAAGCGGGAAGAGCUCAAAUUUGAAAUCUUCAAGGGUUCUACCUUGACGAAUUGUAGUUUAUAAGAAGUGUUUUCUGUUAGAUGAGGUGGCUAAAAGUUCUUUGGAAUAGGACAUCAUAGAGGGUGAGAAUCCCGUAUUUGACCGUUACUUCUCCUAGCUGUUGUGAUACACUUUCAACGAGUCGGAUUGUUUGGGAAUGCAGUCCAAAAUGGGUGGUAAAUUUCAUCUAAAGCUAAAUAUUGGCGAGAGACCGAUAGCGAACAAGUACCGUGAGGGAAAGAUGAAAAGAACUUUGAAAAGAGAGUUAAACAGUACGUGAAAUUGUCAAAAGGGAAGCGUUUGACACCAGUGUUGUUUUUCCGAAAAUCAAUUACGAAUGUUUUAUUUUUGAGGAGUUAUGACUUCAUCGGCUUGCUCCUUUCUUUAUGAAACUUUCUUAAUGCACUUUUCGGUUAACAAGUCAACAUCAAUUUCUUUUGUUGUAAAAGGGUAUGAGGAAGGUGGCUUUCUUUUCGGAGAAAGUGUUUAUAGCCUUGUGCCUCUGCAAUCGGAGAGAUUGAGGUCUGCAGCGUAGAUCCUUCGGGGUUAGAUACGUUUGUGCUAAGUUAUAGCUUUUCAUAGACAACUUGUUGGCUAUGUUUAGUCUUGUAGCUUACUCGCUGACGCUAUUUUACCUACGCUUAGGAUGUUGACGAGACUGUCGAUCUC